rnacentral:tRNA from 1 species
GCGGGAGUGGCGUAACUGGCAGCCGCGUCAGGUUUAGGUCCUGGUGCCCUCGGGCGUGGGGGUUCGAGUCCCCCCUCCCGCA